UACGUAGGGUGCGAGCGUUGUCCGGAAUUAUUGGGCGUAAAGAGCUUGUAGGCGGUUUGUCGCGUCUGCCGUGAAAAUCCGGGGCUCAACCCCGGACUUGCGGUGGGUACGGGCAGACUAGAGUGUGGUAGGGGAGACUGGAAUUCCUGGUGUAGCGGUGAAAUGCGCAGAUAUCAGGAGGAACACCGAUGGCGAAGGCGGCUUCCUGGACACCAACUGACGCUGAGACGCGAAAGCGUGGGGAGCAAACAGG
rnacentral:rRNA from 1 species